UAGUGGCGAACGGGUGAGUAACACGUGGGCAAUCUGCCCUUCACUCUGGGACAAGCCCUGGAAACGGGGUCUAAUACCGGAUAACACUUUCUCCUGCAUGGGGGAGGGUUGAAAGCUCCGGCGGUGAAGGAUGAGCCCGCGGCCUAUCAGCUUGUUGGUGGGGUGAUGGCCUACCAAGGCGACGACGGGUAGCCGGCCUGAGAGGGCGACCGGCCACACUGGGACUGAGACACGGCCCAGACUCCUACGGGAGGCAGCAGUGGGGAAUAUUGCACAAUGGGCGGAAGCCUGAUGCAGCGACGCCGCGUGAGGGAUGACGGCCUUCGGGUUGUAAACCUCUUUCAGCAGGGAAGAAGCGUGAGUGACGGUACCUGCAGAAGAAGCGCCGGCUAACUACGUGCCAGCAGCCGCGGUAAUACGUAGGGCGCAAGCGUUGUCCGGAAUUAUUGGGCGUAAAGAGCUCGUAGGCGGCUUGUCGCGUCGGAUGUGAAAGCCCGGGGCUCAACCCCGGGUCUGCAUUCGAUACGGGCAGGCUGGAGUGUGGUAGGGGAGAUCGGAAUUCCU
rnacentral:rRNA from 1 species